CCACUGCAUGACGAUGAAGUGAUCGGCUACAUCAUGGCAGGUCUUGGAAUUGAGUUUGAUCCGUUGAUGGCGUCUUUAACCGUCCUCAACACCACAGUGAGUCUUCAUGAUUUUUAUGCCCUUCUCUUGAGUUUUGAGG